rnacentral:lncRNA from 1 species
AGAGUUUUAACAUCCCCCUUUGCCCCAAAGAUGGAUACUACUCACUAUGGAAGGCAGAGCUAUCCCACCAGCCCUGGACUGCUCAGCCCUAGAUUCUUACACGAGGUACAAAUAAAUAUAUGGUAUUCAGGUCAUUGAAUAUGUAUUUUGGGGUCUUUACUAUAUCAGCUUAACCUAUACUCUAAUUUUACAACUCCAGUGUGCCAUACAAAUAGUACCAUUUUCUGGUUGUGCCAUGAUGAAGGCUGGGAAGCACUAUGACCUGGACCAUUUGUUCUUGGUCCCUUUUGCUGACCCUUCCUUCUCACUGCCAUCAAGAGGGCAAUCCUUUCCUCCACACCAUCCAGGUAAUUAGCUUAUAGUGGUCCCAAAGAUAAAGGUCGAAUACCCCAGCUCUUGCAGAAACUUCGAGCUGAGGUGGUGGGCAGGAGCUCCUUGGAACCCUCCCUUCCUCCAUCCGAAGAGCUUGUUCCUUUCCACCUCUGACUUCGGUGUCCUCUGCUCCUCCUCUCCCGGCAUCGCCCCUUCCCUGUGCAGGGGCAGCGAUUGGGGCCUCAGCCUUAGUUCUUCCAGCUGGACCCUGGGAUGGUGCGGGGCUGUGGCUCUGGGAAGUAUCUUGGCCUGCACGCGGUUUACAUCAUUGGGAGCACAGGCCUCGCCCUCCGAACUACGAGGCCCAGAGCCCUUCGCGCCGAGCGUUUCCCGCCUUUCCCCUGUCUCAAGUCAUUGCCCAGAGGCCACUGCGGGCCGUUCCUGCCUGUCC